CCUACGGGAGGCAGCAGUCGAGAAUCAUUCACAAUGGGGGAAACCCUGAUGGUGCGACGCCGCGUGGGGGAAUGAAGGUCUUCGGAUUGUAAACCCCUGUCAUGUGGGAGCAAAUUAAAAAGAUAGUACCACACGAGGAAGAGACGGCUAACUCUGUGCCAGCAGCCGCGGUAAUACCGAGGUCUCAAGCGUUGUUCGGAAUCACUGGGCGUAAAGCGUGCGUAGGCUGUUUCGUAAGGCGUGUGUGAAAGGCGCGGGCUCAACCCGCGGACGGCACAUGAUACUGCGAGACUAGAGUAAUGGAGGGGGAACCGGAAGUCUCGGUGUAGCAGUGAAAUGCGUAGAUAUCGAGAGGAACACUCGUGGCGAAGGCGGGUUCCUGGACAUUAACUGACGCUGAGGCACGAAGGCCAGGGGAGCGAAAGGGAUUAGAUACCCGGGUAGUC
rnacentral:rRNA from 1 species